rnacentral:rRNA from 1 species
AGAGUUUGAUCCUGGCUCAGAACGAACGUUGGCGGCAUGGAUUAGGCAUGCAAGUCGAGGGAAUCCCAGCAAUGGGGGAACCGGCGUAAGGGGCAGUAAGGCAUGGGUACCUACCCUGAAGUUCGGGAUAGCCAUCAGAGAUGGUGGGUAAUACCGGAUGAUGUCGUGAGACCAAAGAUUUAUCGCUUUGGGAGGGGCCCAUGUGAUAUUAGCUAGUUGGUGAGGUAACGGCUCACCAAGGCAAAGAUGUCUAGCGGGUAUGAGAGUACGACCCGCGCCACUCGCACUGAGACACUGGCGAGACACCUACGGGUGGCUGCAGUCGAGGAUCUUCGGCAAUGGGCGAAAGCCUGACCGAGCGAUGCCGCGUGCGCGAUGAAGGCCUUCGGGUUGUAAAGCGCUUUAGUGGGGGAGAAAAGCCCGAAAGGGUUUGAUCUAUCCCAAAAAUAAGCUCGGGCUAAGUUCGUGCCAGCAGCCGCGGUAAGACGAACCGUGCGAACGUUGUUCGGAAUCACUGGGCUUAAAGGGCGCGUAGGCGGGCGGGCAAGUCGGAGGUGAAAGCCCCCAGCUCAACUGGGGAAGUGCCCUCGAUACUGCCGGCCUGGAGGGAGGUAGGGGCGUGCGGAACUUCCGGUGGAGCGGUGAAAUGCGUAGAUAUCGGAAGGAACACCGGUGGCGAAGGCGGCACGCUGGGCCUCUCCUGACGCUGAGGCGCGAAAGCCAGGGGAGCGAACGGGAUUAGAUACCCCGGUAGUCCUGGCCCU